GUGCAGAGUGGAACAGUGCAGUUUCACAAUUCUGUCAGCUGAAUGUUUUCUGAUGUGUAAUCAGGUGGUGUUGGGCCUAAAGGCUGAGGAUAAUAGUGACUUGAAGGUGAAGGUCAAACGUCAGACCCCCUUCAAGAAAGAAAGCCAGGACGUCCAUGUGCUCAGCGACAAAGAUAAGAAGAACAGUUUCCCUCAGGGUGAAGUGGGGUGUUUCCCCUCCCUUCAGAACCAACUGCAGCAGGUUGAGAAGAGGCUGCAGUUGCUGAAGGAGCAGAACGCAGACCUGCCUGUGCUUUUCCCCUGGUCAGGGCUGGAUGAGAGGCGGGGGGCUUUUGAACAGGCCCAUGGCCUCCUAGAGACAGCCACAACACUGAGAGAUCAGAUGAAGGAGCAGACUCAGCUCGGAGAAGACUCCAGCUUGACUGAGUUGUCCUGCAGUAGUCUGGAGAUUAUUGUCUCCAGCCUGAUCCAACAACUUAGUGACACAUGUGAAGGUCUUGAUGAGGGCAUUCAGAAAGAACAGCACUGCAGCCUCAUGCUGAAACAGUGCAGUGAAAUCCUGGACUGCUUGGAGAGGAGAAUGCAAGAGGAAAUAUCUCGGCCCCCUCAUGUAAACGACCAGAAGUCUCAAUUGGAAGCUCUUAAAGACUUGCUUCAAGCUGUGGGUCAGGAGGAUAAGCAUCUGCAGGUGAUUGAAACUCAAACUGCUGCUUUGCUGAGGAGCUGCACUUUAGAGGGUCAGGCAGCCCUGUCUCAGGAUGUCCAGGCUCUGCUUAAUAAGAGGUCAAUGCUGCAGAAGUCCAUUGACAAACAGCUUGGCCGUCUAGGAUAUCAGAAGACAGAAAAAGGAUGUUUUGAGGUAAGAGUGAAGAUCCACUUCUUCCAUAGGCCAUCAGUCAGCCAUGGUGCUUGCACAAAAUAAGUUAAAGUGACCAGCUCUAGAAAAGACAUGCCUUUUUCAUGGUGUGAUGGUAAUGCUUUUAUAUCAUUGGGGUGUGUGCUGAUGAUGAGGCCCCAGGAGACAACUGCACUCAAAUUUUGUGCCUUUUGCAUAGCAUUUACAGUGAUUUGAAUAAAGAUAUAUGCC
ensembl:lncRNA